rnacentral:lncRNA from 1 species
AUUUAUUUGUAAUGUUUCUGCAUACGGUUCAUUGCGCGACUCACUGCCACCAUGCCCCCAGGUAAUGC